ACUGAGGAAUGAUGACAAUAAAAGGCCGAAUUGCAGUGUCUCCGUUAACAGUUGGCUCUCUGUGGGCACACGAUGACAAAAUCUCCCGAAGCGAACCACCGGUCUGACCUCAGU
rnacentral:snoRNA from 14 species